rnacentral:rRNA from 1 species
UGGGGAAUAUUGCGCAAUGGGCGAAAGCCUGACGCAGCAACGCCGCGUGAGUGAUGAAGGCCUUCGGGUCGUAAAGCUCUGUCGGAGGGAACGAAUGCUCUUGAGGUUAACAGCCUCGGGAGGUGACGGUACCCUCAAAGGAAGCACCGGCUAACUCUGUGCCAGCAGCCGCGGUAAUACGGAGGGUGCGAGCGUUAAUCGGAAUUACUGGGCGUAAAGCGCGCGUAGGCGGCUUUGUAAGUCGGAUGUGAAAGCCCCGGGCUUAACCUGGGAAUUGCAUUCGAUACUGCAUAGCUAGAGUAUGGUAGAGGGUAGCGGAAUUCCGGGUGUAGCGGUGAAAUGCGUAGAUAUCCGGAGGAACACCAGUGGCGAAGGCGGCUACCUGGACCAAUACUGACGCUGAGGCGCGAAAGCGUGGGGAGCAAACAGGAUUAGAUACCCUGGUAGUCCCUGAGCGGGCUGGCAAGGCGCAU